UACUUCGAGUUUAUAAGCACGUCCUAUGCCGUAAUUGUUAUCAGUUCGCAGUAGUUCGUCGAGAAUAUAAGAUAUAACCUUCACGAAUAUAUGUUAGUGUUGAGAAUAGGUGUUACUACUGUGAUGAACAAAUGACGAUUUAUCGCAUAUGUGAUAUCUCGAUUUAAGCUCAGCAACAAUCAAAACCAUGUGAGACGACAGACUUACAAAUUAAAAACAAUAUUAGACUAAGCGCACGACUGCAAGUAUACCGGAGGAAAGCAGCAUUGAAGUUGUCAUUAAUACUCUGUAGGAACGUCAUUCUCGUAACAGAUAGCGAUAUAGGUAGCGAUAUAUUAUUCCACGCUAGCUGAAUGCCUUAUUCUUUCUAACAGACAUAUCUAUAAAGAGAGAGAGACCGAUUUAAAUUAAAAAGCGUUAAAAUAUACACAAGAUAGUAAUAAGCAAUGUCAUGAACGGAAAAAUGUAAACAAUGGAAUAUAGACAGAGAAAUUUAGUAGACGACGGAAUAUUACGACGAAGAAGUGUAUCAGAAUACGAUAUAACUAAAACACUACGAACAAGUGUCCAACGACGAAAUGGCAAACAAUAAAGUGGUUGUAUUUUGCUUCAAUUCUUUUUCAUGAACUUACACGUUUUUUAAACGAAAUAAAAUGUAAAGAGUAUAAUUAGUUAUAUAUGAAAUAUUUAAAAUGUACGUAUUGUAUUAACGAUAUACAUACAUAGAGCGGUUCUUGCUAAUGAAUAUUGUUUCUGCAUUCGUACUAUUUGUCUUGUUGGCUCAAUUUUAUUUCUUCAAAUACGAGAAAUGUAAUUUAACUAUAAUGGCCUUGCAGUGCGAUUCUGAGCUUAUUUUUGUUUUAAUGAUAUUAUUUUCUAUUCUAAUUAUUCUAUAUUAUUCUAUUCUAUGUUGUAUUAUUCUAAUCA